CUUCAAUCUAGCUUCCACCCUCUCCACUCUACUGAGACUGCACUUAUCAAAGUUACUAACGACCUAAUCGCAGCUAAAUCCAAAGGCCACUACUCCAUACUAAUUCUUCUUGACCCCUCUGACACCGUUGAUCAUGCUCUCCUUCUUCAAACUCUUCAAUCACUUGGUCUCUGUGGCUCUGUCCUCUCGUGGUUUUCCUCUUAUCUCU